rfam:Glossina fuscipes fuscipes unplaced genomic scaffold Scaffold1, whole genome shotgun sequence.
UAUUGUGUAGUCUAGUGGUUGGGAUGUUCACCUUUCAACCGAAAGACACAGGAUCGAACUCUGAUGCGAUAG